rnacentral:rRNA from 1 species
CGCAGCCAGCUGCGAGACUUGGUGUGAAUUGCAGGACACAUUGAGCACUGAUUUUUCGAACGCACAUUGCGGCCUCGGGUACUACCCGGGGCCUCGCCUGUCUGAGGGUCGGAUAAGACUUGCCCAGGAAGCGUGUCUUUCGACGCGCUUUCAAUUGGCCGUACCGGAGACCUCCGCGUCUUCGCCGGCUCAAGGUCUUCCAGGAUCCUCCCCGGUCGAAGGAGCGUUGCCCCUGAGCAUGCUCGUCGGUUGGAGAAGACGGAACUUCGUUUCUCCUCGAUGACGAGACGUGGGGCUAUGCGAGAAGACCGAAUUCGUGGGGGUUUCUGCUGGAAUGUUCCUCACUCGAGGGAUUUCCACCGACACUUUAUUUUUAUGUCGACCUCAGAUCAGACGAGAUGACCCGCUGAAUUUAAGCAUAUC